rnacentral:rRNA from 1 species
CUAACAAGGAUUCCCUGAGUAACGGCGAGUGAACAGGGAAAAGCCCAGCACCGAAGCCUGUGGUCAUUUGGUCACUAGGCAAUGUGGUGUUCAGGUCGUUCCAUAGAGGUGCUGCUCCACCCUAAGUCCAGCAAUGAGUACGGUGGUACGGACAUGGCCCACAGAGGGUGAAAGGCCCGUGGGGGUGGAGAUCAGGCAGGCCAGUGCCUCUCUGGGUAGACCUUGGAGUCGGGUUGUUUGUGAAUGCAGCCCAAAGUGGGUGGUAAACUCCAUCCAAGGCUAAAUACUUGCACGAGUCCGAUAGCGAACAAGUACCGUGAGGGAAAGUUGAAAAGUACUUUGAAGAGAGAGUAAACAGUGCGUGAAACCGCUCAGAGGUAAACGGGUGGAGUUGAACUGCAAGCUCUGGGAAUUCAGCUGGUGAGUGUGGUUUGGGCUUGGUCAAGUCGGUUGGACAUUGAGGUCUGCGUAGCGGCAGGUCUUUACCCUCGGGUAAGGAUGCGCGAUACACUUAUCAAGUGUUGUGCGCCUCUUUGUUUAUCGGGCCAAUUCGCCAGUGCACUUUCUCGGAGUGUUCACCACGACCGGCACUGCUGUCUGAUUGCUGUGGUUAAACCGGACUUACAGGGCUCUUGUGGCGUUGUAUGGCCGGGAAGGCAGGUAGCUCGUUGGCUAGCUUGCGGUUUACCGCUGGCGUUCGGUCUUCGAGUGUAAAUAGCUGACCACGAUAUUUCUGUGCAGUGUGUCGGAGACGGCGGCUUUUGGUACGUGCGUGCGUGCUGGUUCUGCUGGCGUGUCCGGGUUUGGUUGCCAUGUUGCUUGUGAAUGCAGGCCUGGCAAUGGUUCGGAUUCGUUUGGUGGGCGGUUGCGUAUGUGGUGCCGUUAAGGGCCAACAGUCUGUGGUGUAGUGGUAGACUAUCCACCUGACCCGUCUUGAAACACGGACCAAGGAGAGUAACAUGUGCGCGAGUCAUUGGGCGUAACGAAACCCACAGGCGCAGUGAAAGUAAAGGCUUGACUUGUUCAGGCUGAGGUGAGAUCCUGUCGUUUUCACGCAUGGUGCCACCAAGCAACGAGCGGCAGGCGCAUCACCGGCCCGUCCCAUGACGUAGACACAUAAUCUUCGGACCAGUGCACCGUCGGGGCGGAGCAUGAGCGUACAUGUUGAGACCCGAAAGAUGGUGAACUAUGCUUGCGCAGGUUGAAGCCAGAGGAAACUCUGGUGGAGGACCGCAGCGAUUCUGACGUGCAAAUCGAUCGUCAAACGUGAGUAUAGGGGCGAAAGACUAAUCGAA